rnacentral:rRNA from 1 species
GUGUCAGCCGCCGCGGUAAUACGGAGGGUGCGAGCGUUGUCCGGAAUCACUGGGCGUAAAGGGCGCGUAGGCGGCGCGGGAAGUCAUCGGUGAAAGUUCAGGGCUCAACUCUGAAUCGGCCGGUGAUACUCUCGUGCUCGAGCACUGUAGAGGCAGGUGGAAUUCCGGGUGUAGCGGUGGAAUGCGUAGAGAUCCGGAAGAACACCGGUGGCGAAGGCGGCCUGCUGGGCAGUAGCUGACGCUGAUGCGCGACAGCGUGGGGAGCAAACAGGAUUAGAUACCCUUGUAGUCC